UACGUAGGGGGCAAGCGUUGUCCGGAAUUAUUGGGCGUAAAGAGCGCGUAGGCGGUCCGAUAAGUCGGCUGUGAAAGUCCAGGGCUCAACCCUGGAAAGCCGGUGGAUGCUGCCGGGCUAGAGUCCGGGAGAGGCGAGUGGAAUUCCUGGUGUAGCGGUGGAAUGCGCAGAUAUCAGGAAGAACACCCGUGGCGAAGGCGGCUCUCUGGUACGUGACUGACGCUGAGACGCGAAAGCGUGGGGAGCAAACAGG
rnacentral:rRNA from 1 species